AAGGUAGCUCCAACCCUCCCACCAAAUUCUGCAGACUGCACCCAUCUGAGCCGCUCAAACUCUUCUGCUUCACCUGUAACCAGCUCACCUGUCGGGACUGUCAGCUCACGACCCACAUGAACCACAGGUACGAGUUUGUUAGUGAAGCACUGGACGGGCUGAAGAAGCAGCUGGAGGACCAGGUGGAUCCAAUCAGAGCCCGGAGAGACACCAUGAAGCGGACACUGCAGGACAUGGAGACCAGGGUGAAGGACAUUGUUCAGAACGAGUCUUGUCUAAAGGUCCAACUGCACCAGUCGUACGAUGCCUUUCUACAGCACCUGCAGAAAAGGAAGGAGAACCUCAUUGAGGAGAUUCAGAAGGUGCACCAGUCUGAGCUUGACUGGAUUCACAUGAGGAUGGCGCAGAUGAGGGAGCUGCACAAAAGUCUACAGGCAGUGACUGAUGCUGCAGACGACGCCAAAAGCACCAACGACCUCAUGAGCCUGCAAACCUACCGAGCGCAGAUUGAGUCUCAGCUGAAGAAUCUUCCAGGUCUGAACUUGCCUCUUCCUAAGCUCAUUCCUCAAAUGAAGGUCGUCACGGACAGUAACUCCCUGAUGACCGUUUUAAACUUUGGGAACCUUGAGAUAUCGUGGGUGCCCUUCUCUGUGUCCUCACCUCAGGACCCAGAUCCUCCAGACACCUGCUCCGUCCUUUCUCCCACCACCAUUACCGGCCUACAGUCCACACAUGGCCUUCAAACAGAGACCAGUAAUGACUCUGGUUUAGCUGCUCCAGUGCAAAGCACUGCAGCUUCCUCCUCUGGUCACCAGUGUCCUCCAACCUGCUCCUCCUUUGUGCCAAGCUCUACCUCCACCUCCGCUUCUACAGCCGGUUCUCCCUCUUCUGCCUCCAGACCUCCUUUACAAACUGUAAGCUGCAGCUCAGGUGCUCCAGCAAACCUUCCUCCACCAGGUCAGCUAUGGCUCCUACCACCUUCCUCUGUCCUCACAGGCUUUUCCUCGGCUGCUCCUCCAUCAUCUACCUGUGCCAAGCACCAAACCACAGGCCUGAAUGCCACCACUGAACAAUGCUGGGACACGCAUUUGUCUUCUCUUCAGAAGUAUGUGAACAAAAAGCCUCUUCCUCCUCGUAGCUUUGACUCCUCUAUGUCUUUGUUCACCGUAACACAACCUGACUCUAAAGCUGUCUGCCAGACUGGGACCAGCAACAGUGUUUUACUGUCCUCAGCUGCCCCCUCCUCCUCCUCAUUAUGCUCCACCUCAGGCUCCUUCUCCAUCUCCUCCCCUUUCAUCCCCGCCCAACCAAUUUCUACCCUGCAGCCUAAUCAGUCUUCAUCUCUGAACAGCCCUCAGUCUGUGCCCGUGGGUUCACACCAGCCACCUUCUCCCAGUCAGAACCAGCCUGCUGUCAUCCUGCUGUACAGAUCUACCCUGCUUCCGCCUCUACCUCAGCCUUCCAGACGGGGAUAUACAGUUACAGUACAGGCCGCUCCGGUAUUGAGCAGUGCUGUGACAGUUCCUUCAGUCACUGCAGAAAAUCAAAUCUUUGUUGGACCUAGUCCAAAGGCACAGUCAAACCAAACUGUGGUGGAGCUGUCCCCCCAGCCCGUCCCCUCUGGCCCAGCGUCGUCCCCCCAGCCUGUCCCCUCUGGCCGGGAACCGCACCCGCAGCCCAUCCCCUCUGGCCCGGAACCGCACCCCGUCCCCUCUGGCCCAGCGUCGUCCCCCCAGCCCGUCCCCUCUGGCCCAGCGUCGUCCCCGCAGCCCGUCCCCUCUGGCCCGGAACCGCACCCGCAGCCCAUCCCCUCUGGCCCGGAACCGCACCCCGUCCCCUCUGGCCCGGCGUCGUCCCCCCAGCCCGUCCCCUCUGACUUUACACCUGAUUCCUCGUCACUAGAACAUGAGGACCUGAGUCAUGUGGUGAAGGCAGUGGCAGACUCUGCCUGUGAUCACGGCAUGCAGCAGGUGGAGAUGAAGCGGCAGGAACCUGCUGAGAACGAACCCACCUCCACCAUGUGUGAAGAAACCGAACCCCUCCAGUCCAGAAGUGAAACGGCGGACAGCGAUUCUGAAGAUCCGAGUGGCCCUGGACAGCAGGACAGCAGGUUGAGCCAGUGGCAACCCAAGGUGUGUUUGUUCAGGCUGCCCCUGCCCCCACCGCCACCCGGCUGCCCCCUCCCCACUUAUCGCCUGGCCCGAGGAUUCGCCAAGGAUGGGAUUUACCUGGAAGAGAUGAGGGACAACUGUGAGUCCCACGCUAAUGAAUCGACUCCAGAGUCUCCUGUGACCCUGCAGCUAGUUUCCUGCUCAGCUUGUGGAUGUGCUGAUGGCUCAAUAAUCUGCUUUUCCUGUGGUCGGGGAUACCACAGAGACUGUCACCUUCCCCCCGUUGGACCUGACUUUUGGUCCGAGUGGAUCUGUUCGUUGUGUCAGGACCUGUCGGACUCCUCAGACCCCUACAGCUCUGUGAGACCACGACCAGCACGGAGUCCCUGUCUCAGUCUGCUGAACCAGAGGAGGUGUGAGAGUCUGCUACUCUACCUGAAGGUCAAAGGCUGCAGUCGACUUCCUCAGUCUCACCUGAAAAUGAUGGCGGAGCGUCUGAGCCGCCGUCGCGCUGCAUAUGUAACAGCUGCCGAGUUUCUGUCUGACAGCUGGACUUUAUUCAAGCAGGCGUCGUCCUCACCACUGCUGGAGGACGACCCGCUCAGCAGCCUGCAGAGGAGUUUCCACAGGAGGUUGGUGAAGACAUUCGGUGCAGAGCUUCAUCCUUCCCUGCUGACUCCACCCAACCCACGUUCAAACCCACAGCAUCCAAACAAAGACGCCAGAACCGAGUCCAAACUGAGGGAAACGAGGAAGAGACUGGGGCAGUUUCUGGUUCUGAUGGGAACCUCAGCUGCCAAGAGAACAAAAAAGGACACAAUGCAAAAUUGAGACAGAAAGCUGACUGUCAGAUUCCUGACCCGUCAAGUCAUCAGAGUACGGAGACG
rnacentral:lncRNA from 1 species